rnacentral:rRNA from 1 species
GACGAACGCUGGCGGCGUGCUUAACACAUGCAAGUCGAACGGAAAGGCCCUGCUUUUGUGGGGUGCUCGAGUGGCGAACGGGUGAGUAACACGUGAGUAACCUGCCCUUGACUUUGGGAUAACUUCAGGAAACUGGGGCUAAUACCGGAUAGGAGCUCCUGCUGCAUGGUGGGGGUUGGAAAGUUUCGGCGGUUGGGGAUGGACUCGCGGCUUAUCAGCUUGUUGGUGGGGUAGUGGCUUACCAAGGCUUUGACGGGUAGCCGGCCUGGGAGGGUGAACGGCCACAUUGGUACUGCGAUACGGCGCAGAGUGCUACGGGAGGCAGCAGUGGGGAAUAUUGCACAACGGGCGGAAGCGUGAUGCAGCAACGCCGCGUGCGGGAUGACGGCCUUCGGGUUGUAAACCGCUUUAGCCUGUGACGAAGCGUGAGUGACGGUACUGGGUAAAGAAGCACCGGCUAACUACGUG